rnacentral:rRNA from 1 species
CCUACGGGAGGCAGCAGUGGGGAAUCUUGCGCAAUGGGCGAAAGCCUGACGCAGCCAUGCCGCGUGAAUGAUGAAGGUCUUAGGAUUGUAAAAUUCUUUCACCGGGGACGAUAAUGACGGUACCCGGAGAAGAAGCCCCGGCUAACUUCGUGCCAGCAGCCGCGGUAAUACGAAGGGGGCUAGCGUUGCUCGGAAUUACUGGGCGUAAAGGGAGCGUAGGCGGAUAGUUUAGUCAGAGGUGAAAGCCCAGGGCUCAACCUUGGAAUUGCCUUUGAUACUGGCUAUCUUGAGUACGGAAGAGGUAUGUGGAACUCCGAGUGUAGAGGUGAAAUUCGUAGAUAUUCGGAAGAACACCAGUGGCGAAGGCGACAUACUGGUCCGUUACUGACGCUGAGGCUCGAAAGCGUGGGGAGCAAACAGGAUUAGAUACCCUGGUAGUCCACGCUGUAAACGAUGAGUGCUAGUUGUCGGCAUGCAUGCAUGUCGGUGACGCGAGCUACGCAUUAAGACACUCCGCCGUCGGGAGGUACGGUCGCGAGAAUUAAACUACAAGAAGUUAGUACGGACGUGAGACGUGCCGACGGACGACGACGAGGGAGGAGG